rnacentral:rRNA from 1 species
UCGAGAAUCAUUCACAAUGGGGGAAACCCUGAUGGUGCAACGCCGCGUGGAGGAUGACGGCCCUCGGGUUGUAAACUCCUGUCAUCUGGGAGUAAGCCUUGUUCGUUAAUAGCGUGCAAGGUUGAUAGUACCAGAAGAGGAAGGGACGGCUAACUUCGUGCCAGCAGCCGCGGUAAUACGAAGGUCCCAAGCGUUGUUCGGAAUCACUGGGCGUAAAGCGUGCGUAGGCGGCGUAGUAAGUCAGAUGUGAAAUCUCUGGGCUCAACCCGGAAACUGCAUCCGAUACUGCUACGCUAGAGUAAUGGAGGGGUAGCUGGAAUUCUCGGUGUGGCAGUGAAAUGCGUAGAUAUCGAGAGGAACACUCGUGGCGAAGGCGAGCUACUGGACAUUUACUGACGCUGAGGCACGAAGGCCAGGGGAGCGAAAGGGAUUAGAUACCCCUGUAGUCC